AUGUAAAUCAGAGGAUAUUGCAAUAGAGUUCAUUGAGGUAGACCAUAGGCUAAUCAUGGUAUUUAUGAAUGGAUGUAUAAAUUUAAAUCCUUAGCCUGGGCAAAAUGUUAGAAUUUAAAUGAAGAGAAUAUGUGAAGAUCCAUAAGAGCAUGCAUUUAGUCUCGCAUCGAUUAUUUACCGAGAAGAUCUUAUGUACUUAUACAAGACUGAAGAACCC
rnacentral:lncRNA from 1 species